UACGUAGGGUGCAAGCGUUAAUCGGAAUUACUGGGCGUAAAGCGUGCGCAGGCGGUUUUGUAAGUCUGUCGUGAAAUCCCCGGGCUCAACCUGGGAACUGCAUUUGUGACUGCACAGCUUGAGUGCGGCAGAGGGGGAUGGAAUUCCGCGUGUAGCAGUGAAAUGCGUAGAUAUUCGGAGGAACACCGAUGGCGAAGGCAAUCCCCUGGGCCUGCACUGACGCUCAUGCACGAAAGCGUGGGGAGCAAACAGG
rnacentral:rRNA from 1 species